rnacentral:rRNA from 1 species
UUAGUGCAGAUUAACAGUGCUUCUCCUAGUACGGCGAGUGAACGGAGAUUAGCCCAGCGCCGAAGCCUAUCUGCAUUUGUGGACAGGGCAAUGUGGCGUUUAGAAUUGUACCUGGGGAUGCUUGUCUACUCGAAGUCCAACUCCGAAUAUGGCUUGGAUUUGUACCAGAGAGGGUGAAAGUCCCGUACGGGUAGACCUACUUGUUUUAAGCAUUCCUUAGAUGUUCAGUUCUUGGAGUCGGAUUGCUUGAGAAUGCAGUCCAAAGUGGGUGGUAAACUCCAUCCAAGGCUAAAUACCUGCAUGAGUCCGAUAGUAGACAAGUACCGCGAGGGAAAGUUGAAAAGUACUCUGAAGAG